AUUGAACGCUGGCGGCAUGCCUUACACAUGCAAGUCGGACGGCAGCACGGGAGCAAUCCUGGUGGCGAGUGGCGAACGGGUGAGUAAUAUAUCGGAACGUGCCCAGUCGUGGGGGAUAACGCAGCGAAAGCUGUGCUAAUACCGCAUACGAUCUAUGGAUGAAAGCGGGGGAUCGCAAGACCUCGCGCGAUUGGAGCGGC
rnacentral:rRNA from 1 species